GCACCUCUUCCUUCUCUCAGCAUGCCUGUGCACAGGUAUGUGGCUAUUUACUGCUUUGUAACCAGCUGGAGUUGGUGACUGCAAAAACCUCAUCACAAGGAGGGUAAGUGGAAGGGGCUCUUCAUCACAGUGUGCCUUUCUGCAGAGCUGAUGGAAGCAGCAUCCUUAGGGCCAAAGGAAUGCAAUCCUCCUGGGAUACAAUGGAAACAGUUGUUCUGCAUCCCUGGAGCUUCCCCUGGUCACUCACAUCUUGCGGGAGAUGCAGGCGUGUGCUGGGAAAUGGUGUCACACACUGAGCUGAUGCACAAACCCCAAACAUCCAUCACUGAGCUGUGGACAAAGCUGUCCAGCUCCUGCAUGAUGGUGUGGCAUUGCCAGAGACUCAUUCAUGUGCCAUGGCAGGCUCUGAGGGAAGUUUGAGACAGUUUCCAUCCAUUGCUUCCCCUGUUUCUAAUUAGUUAUGGUGCUGGCACAAACUGGGAUCUGUGUCUACUAAGCCUUCAUCUGCUCUUUCUUAUUCCCACAUGAAGUCAGAAUCCUUCAUGCCAUCCCAACUGCUGCACUGUGGGAGUGAUUUGGGGUGUCACAAAUCAGAGGAUCAUCCCUCAGGUACUGAACAAACAGAAGAACUGUGGAGGAAAACAGGCCUUGUGUCACAGGCUGCUGGUGAGAACACAUGUGCUGGCACAGGGACACCAAGAGAGGAGUGGAGCAGAGGCUGAUGUAUCCACAGAAGAAUUUGAAGAACAAUCAUGAGAUUUUACACAUGGCAGAUGUCUAAGAUAUUUUGAGAGAUUCUUCUCAGAGCCUCUAAGCCACAGCAGGGCCCUGCCACAUAUUUUGUUCUUCCUAUAAUGAUGCUGUGCCAUUUGUAUUGCAGUAUUGAUGCACUCCUGGGUGGUACCAGCAGGAUGAGGAGUGUGGUUAAUAGCUGGCUUCAAGGGCCAAACAGAAAUAUCAGCCUGCAGCUCAAUCCCUAGCCAAGAAUGAGGCACUCAAGCAAGGAAACAGAUUUCUUUCCUAAACAAGGGAUCAAAGUAUGAUGAAGCAGUGGACAAAUCUUAAUAUCUUCCAGCCAGAUGAAGCAACAAAAGACAGCUUGGUAGUAACAGCCCAGAGUAAUCACAGAGGCAGUAAUUGAGUCCCAAUAAAAGUUGUCACAAGGUAUCUUGCCCCACUUCCAGUAUGGAUAAAGAUCAAGGACACAAGUUGGGAAAAACUAGCUCUGACCUGUAAAGGCAGUGCUUGCUUGCCAGAUGCUCCCAGAGCUGGCUGCUGUGGCCAUUCUGCAAUCAUCCUCCUUUGAUUGUUUUAUGGGAUCUGGACCUCUGAGAGCAGCCCCAGCUUGUGCAACCCUCACUGAGCCUGCCCUGGAAACCCUGCCAGGCAGAGCCCACCCCUGCUGAUGGUGCCCUUCAGCUGCAGAAUAAAGACUGGACACUGAGCUGUUAAAUAAAUGUGUUUAUUAAUUCUA